rnacentral:rRNA from 1 species
AUUGAACGCUGGCAGCAUGCCUUACACAUGCAAGUCGAACGGCAGCACGGGGCAACCUGGUGGCGAGUGGCGAACGGGUGAGUAAUGCAUCGGAACGUACCUUUCAGUGGGGGAUAACGUAGCGAAAGUUACGCUAAUACCGCAUAUUCUGUGAGCAGGAAAGCAGGGGAUCGCAAGACCUUGCGCUGAUUGAGCGGCCGAUGUCAGAUUAGCUAGUUGGUGAGGUAAAGGCUCACCAAGGCGACGACCUGUAGCGGGUCUGAGAGGAUGAUCCGCCACACUGGAACUGAGACACGGUCCAGACUCCUACGGGAGGCAGCAGUGGGGAAUUUUGGACAAUGGGGGCGACCCUGAUCCAGCCAUGCCGCGUGAGUGAAGAAGGCCUUCGGGUUGUAAAGCUCUUUCGGCCGGGAAGAAAUCGCACGGGCUAAUACCCUGUGUGGAUGACGGUACCGGAAUAAGAAGCACCGGCUAACUACGUGCCAGCCGCCGCGGUAA